rnacentral:rRNA from 1 species
UACGGAGGAUCCAAGCGUUAUCCGGAUUCAUUGGGUUUAAAGGGUGCGUAGGCGGACUGAUAAGUCAGCGGUGAAAUCCCACGGCUCAACUGUGGAACUGCCGUUGAUACUGUCAGUCUUGAGUACAGAUGAUGUGGGCGGAAUAUGACAUGUAGUGGUGAAAUACUUAGAUAUGUCAUAGAACACCGAUUGCGAAGGCAGCUCACAAAACUGUCACUGACGCUGAUGCACGAAAGCGUGGGGAUCAAACAGG